ACAAUCCUUUGUCGGACGUUCAUAUACAGCGGUUGUGGAGGCAAUGAAAAUAACUUUCCAAAUCUCUUGGAAUGCCUUUAUGGGUGUGAAAGGUUUGUACUCCGCAUGCCCUGGUCAUAUUUAGCAGGUGGUUUGAAAUGGGUUCGAGAAAUACCUAGACAAUGCAAACUUCCUCGAAGGAGAGGAUGGUGCAAAGCCGAACUACAUCGUUAUUAUUAUGAUUACCUGAACUCGAGGUGCAGACCCUUCAUUUAUAGCGGUUGCAGAGGCAAUGUGAACAAUUUUCUAUCUUACAAGGAUUGUGCUUGGCAAUG